rnacentral:lncRNA from 1 species
GAAAGUGGCUGGUGCCGGUGCCAAUUAGGAUGAGGCGCUUGCCUUCAGGAAGAGUCCCAAAGCCAAGCUCUGACUCCAGGACCAGGGUUCUGGUCCGUCUCUCUAGCUGGUUCAGCUCUGAAUCCACACCUGAGAAGCAUGAACGCCCGCCCAGGGACAAAGGGCUACAAGGCUGGUGUAUAUUUACAUGCACAGAAACCGGAGCCAUGAAUCAGUGAGCCAGAGUGGUAGCUUUUAAAAUUCAGGAAGCGAAUUGGGGCUUCAUUAAAGCAGUAUCUUU